UUUUGAACUGCCACGAGCACAACUAAUUGCAGAAACAGAAAAAGUUCGUGAAAAAUAUAACAAUGGAAAGACAUGCUAGCAGCAAUUUAAGACAAGCGCUUUUUUAUAUGCUAAUCAAUAAACACAAUGUAAACACCUAUGUUGAGCAAAAAAAAGGAAGCAAUCCUCACAAUUAAUGCAAAUCAUGGUAUCAACAAUAGAUGUCUAGACGACAUUCUAAGAUGUAAUUUAGUUCUGCAUAUCUAAGCAUGAUGAUAUUUUAUCAAACUUGAUUUACUUUAAAGACUUCUGGACGUACAAGCUACAGAUAUGGACAGUUCUUCUCUUAAUGCACUUAUCAAGAACAUCACAAUAUUAUAGUAAUUAUUCAUUUUGCAGCUAAGAUUAGGGGUGUGCGUGGUUCUUGGGCCCUGAACCAAACCUAAAAUUGUAUCGAAUUGAAUUGAAAUCGAAAAAAACUGUUACUGUAAAUCGAAUGGACCAAAACUUAUUUACUGUUUUGGUUGGGUUCUAGUUUUUGUUCAAGAACCGAACUGAAACUAUAUAAAAUCUUAUAACCGUAUCAAAAUCACCUUGUGGUCGUAUAAUAUACUUUCUAAUCCUUGAUUAUAUAAAAAUAUGUAAGUAAGAAAUAGAUAAAAG
rnacentral:misc_RNA from 1 species